rnacentral:lncRNA from 1 species
AGAUCUUGAUUUCAUAAAACAUGUUUUCCUUUCAAGUGACAUCCCAUGAGAUUUUGCUUCAUAUGAAAAUUCUAGCUUAUAACAGAACACAUUAGGGGAGAAAGAAAGCAACAUAUAAAUGCUGAGUGCAGAAGAACCCUCUGAAUCGUGAAAAUGUGGCCCAGCAGGUAUGGUGUGUUCAAAGAAGAAAGAAGCAAACCAAACAAGCAAGAAAGCAACGAUAGAGAUACUCUGUUUACGCCGGUUCCUGUGUACCUCUGAUACUUCCUUCUGCCCCAACUCCGGCUUUUUCUAUGUAAAUUGAGGAAUUCAAGAGUGAAGGAAAUUCUCUAGAAUUCCCAUACCCUAGCUUCCCUGCAAUUGAAGAGCUUAUAUGUGAAGGAAGUGUCUAUCUUACUUAAAUGCAUACCCAGGACAUUUAAAGCAGAUCCGGAAAGCCUUUAAGAACCCUGACACUUCAAGAAUUUGGAGAGAAAAAGAAAACAACUAAAACCUACAGUUUCUCUGUGGAAUUGGAGAAUCCUGCUUUUCAUCAGACUGAAGAGAAUCUGACACCUUUCAGAAGCCUAUAAAUAGUGAAUACCAUAUGCAUUGACCAAGAUAAAAGACGUUCCAGACGUUAUCGUGCACCCCCCAGAAUGAUCGA